rnacentral:rRNA from 1 species
CUUAAGCAUAUCAAUAAGCGGAGGAAAAGAAACUAWCAAGGAUUCCCCUAGUAACUGCGAGUGAAGCGGGAAGAGCUCAAAUUUGUAAUCUGGCGGCGUGAUGCCGUCCGAGUUGUAAUCUAGAGAAGCGUGUUCGGGGUCGGGCCGUGUACAAGUCCCUUGGAAUAGGGUGUCAUAGAGGGUGAGAAUCCCGUCUUUGACACGGGCUGCCGAAGCUCUGUGUGACGCGUUCUCAAAGAGUCGAGUUGUUUGGGAAUGCAGCUCAAAAUGGGUGGUAAAUUCCAUCUAAAGCUAAAUAUAGGCGAAAGACCGAUAGCGAACAAGUACCGUGAGGGAAAGAUGAAAAGCACUUUGGAAAGAGAGUUAAACAGUACGUGAAAUUGUUGAAAGGGAAACGCUUGAAGUCAGUCGCGUCUGUCCGGAAUUAAUCGUGKKGUAAAAUAUGCGCCACCAGGGGUGUUUCCCGGCAUGACGGGCCAGCAUGGAUUCCGAUCGUCGGAGAAAGGUCCCUGGGAAUGUGGCACCGUCUCACGGGGUGUGUUAAUAGCCCGGGAUCACAUACGACGGGUUAGGGAUCGAGGACAGCAGCAUGCCUUUCAUAGCAUGUUAUGGCUGAGGGUGGUCAGGGGUCGGCCACGAAACGCGCUUAGGAUGCUGGCGUAAUGGCUUUAAGCGACCCGUCUUG